rnacentral:rRNA from 1 species
UGGUGGAGUGAUUUGUCUGGUUAAUUCCCUUAACGAACGAGACCUUAACCUGCUAACCUAGACGCGGUUAUCUUUUAGCCGUUGUGCUUCUUAGAGGGACUAUGCGUCAAAAAUGCAUGGAAGUUUGAGGCAAUAACA